GUGAUGUACAUCCGAAAAUAAAUAAAUAAAUUUUUUUUAAAAAGAAAAGAAAAUAUAACAGGAUAUUCCCAAGUUUAUUGGAGCUGUAUUUACCUAGAACAGUUCCUGGCAUACUUUAGAUUUUUAAUAAAUGCUUGCUGCAUGAAUAAAAUAAUCAAACAGAGGUAGGUUUAUAUGAAAACUACUUUGCUUGCUGGCCACGUGAUCUUGCACAAUUUCCUUGAGCAGUAUGAACCUGUUUCAUUGUCUGAAAAUUCAAAAUAAUAGUGUCUUUUUAAAAGAAUUACUAUGAUCAUUGAAUAGAAUAGUGUAUAUUACAUAACUAACAGUAUGUCAAUUAAUUUCUUCCUCUUUUAUCUAAAGAAUCCUAGUUAGUUUUUGGUGUUCCAGGACAUUCAACGGUCUGCAGAAUGCUGGAUUCUAUCCUUCAGCUAAGCCAGAUAUUUUACUUGUCUGAUUUAUUUAUUUAUUUAUAACUUUUAAAUAAAUAAUUUAUAAUUUAUAAUAAUUUAUUAAUUAUUUCUUUAUUUAUCUUUGCAAAUUGUGUUACUUGUCACCUUCAAAGUGAAGACGAAGUAUGGAACUUUUGGUGGUAAGAUGGGGCUACAUUGACAUUUAUGCAGAUUGUAUGUAUUUAUUUGUCUUAAUGUCCAUUUCCAUAAAAUGGCUAUGACAAGUUAAGUCUAAAACUUAAUUUUUCAGUUAACUUUAAAAGUUAAAAUUCAUUUAAAAUAUUGGCCUAUUUAGUAGGCACAUAAAACGUCUACCCACACAAUAUUUAUAUUCUUAGACAGAACUGGUGACAGAAUCACAAGAGAAAAUAAACUGCAGAGGAGUUUUCCCCUGAAAAUCUAACUGGAAGACUAUUGAGAUCUCUCUGGAGAAAUUGACCCUCUUCUAUUACUACUAGCAUCUACUGAAACACAUGUUGUUCUGGGAGGCAGACAUAUUUGGCAAUUUAUAUAGAAAGACUGCUACAAGAAUCCUAUUCUCUUGUUUGAUCUUGACCAUCAUUCUUAAUUUUGAGACAUUCCUAUGUCAUGGUUUUUUGCCUGUAUGCUUAAAACAGAUUGAAUAUCAAAUUCAGACCCACACUGAACACUUAAAAUCUCUUCUUGGUGAUUUCCUUUCCAGUUUGUGUUUCUGAAAGCUGACCUCCAGCUCAUGUUUUGUAAGUAGUAACCUCCCUCAUCUCUCUUGGAUAACCUGAUUUUCUGAAAAUCAUUGCUUAGCCUAUAUAGAUUCACAUAGCCUUUUAUAUAUCCUUGGUUGGAUGUCUGGUGCCAGUCAAAAAUUGUCUACAUCUCAAAGUUGUACACUAAUUAACUUAUUUUUAUCAGUCAACUCAUUAAUAGUACUGGCUAGAUCUAAUCUUUGCAGUGAUCUUCGAGUAUUUCUUAAGUACUGUAUAUAUAUCCUUACACACAUUAAUGAACUGCCUUGGCUGGGAAUGCCAUUCUUCAAUCUUUUCUUUAGUGCUUAUUAUGUGCCAUGAAUUGGCUAGACACUGGAGAUACAGAAAUAAAGAAGACAUUGUUCUUUCCUGAAAAUCUUAGCGAGUAACACAUUCCUGAAGUCUUUUUAUUUUCAUUUUUUGAUUCCUUAAGUGUUUGAGUGUAAAUAACACAUCUUCAGACAUUCUUGUGACUUUUAUCACAAAGACAGGCCAUGUACCCUCUAGAAAUUGCCUAUUAAAUUGGGUAUUUACAAUAGAAGGAAACAAUUUGCAUGAGUAACCCAGGAACCCAGAAGAACUAUACUUUUGGCAAGGUUAUAAUUCUUUAAAUGGUUUAUUCUCUUACAGCUGAAUUAAUCCUAGAAGGUCAGAGGGUUGGGAAAAGAUAAAAUUAAUCCACAUUAACUGAUAAAAUAAGAGCUUAACUUGCUUAAUAAUGAGACACCGGAACAUUUUAACACCUGUGAACUCACACAGGAAAAUUUCAGAGGGCUGCUCUUACCCACCUAAUGUUUAAGGCUGCAAUAGAUUGAAAUCAAAUGAAAGUCAGUAUGUCUUAGAAAUCAAACAUCUUAACACUUUAUGUCAUUAAUAAAACUGAGUCAAUGGCUUUUCUGUUGGCAAUAUUAGAGUCCUUUUCAAAGUUAAAGAAAAAAAAACAAUCCCAAGAUGCUAAUAUUUCUAGAGAGACUGUGGGUAUAGUGAUGUAGGAUUUCUAAAAGUUACUACUGAACGAUGAUAAUUCGCUGAACACAGGCCUACUCAUUACCUCAAUUACAUGCGUUCAUGCUCUUGCUUAUCUUGCAACCAAAAAGUUAUUUUCACCUUGGGAACCAAAAUUUAGGGCUGUACUGUGACACCCUCAUCUUUAGAUAGAGGUGUUUCAGCUGACUUCUUAUCUAGUCCAAAAAAAAGGAGCUCACUGAAUAAUCCUCUUUACUAUUGACAAAACAGUUUGGGAGGUACAUUUUUUUCUUUUUAUCUUCAUCCUUUGCCUCUUAUUUGAUUAUCCUGUACCUUCUGUACCUAAAUGACUUCCUAUCAGACAUUUUUUAUUAGAUUUCUUAGUAAAUACCUCAAAUAUGUUGUGUUAAACUGAACCAAACAUAUUUGCUAAUUAGUUAGGUUUUGUUGUGAUAACAAACAACUCAUUUUCACAUUAGAUUAUAAUAACUAACAUUUGUUGUUUACAUAACAUGGGGGCCAUAGGUCAACUAUGUCUCUGCUAAGCUUGACCAGAUUCUGCCUGUCUUCUAAUCCUGGGACUCUAUCUGGGUGUUCUCAUGGCAGAGGUUAGGAAUAUAAGACCUCAAGCCAUAUUUCACAGGAAUAUUUAAAACUUGCCUGGAUGAGGUCAUGGGAAACAUCAUAUUCACUCACAUUUCCUCGACCAAAACUUGUCAUUUGACUAUGCUCAAAAUCAAUAAAGUUAUUCGUAUAUUUUUCCCUCAGGGCAAGUGAUAUAAUGAGUAGGAAUGCAUGACCCUAAUAUAGAAAGAGUAACCAGCUGGGAUCAUUAGUUCGCUCUACCACUCUACCACAAUGUCUCCAACCUCAUCCUUUCCCUAAAUUGCCAUCUCGUGGAUCAUGUUUUUGAUCUCCCUAUAUUGAAGUUAGUAAUCCUCCUGAACUCCUCUUUAUUCCUCACCAAACACAAUUAAUUGACCUCCAAGAAUUUCAUGAUGCCACCUUUUCAAGUGUCCUCCACUAUCUCGUCAUUAGAUUGCUACCACCUAAGUUCUAGCUGUCAUAUCAUUUAUCACUUGAGUAAUUACACUAUUUUCUUCCUAAAUUGACUGACUUAAGGUGUUUCUUAAAUCCCUUUUCCCGCUGAAUAAAAAAUGUUGUUUCUGAAAAUGAAUUAUGGGAUGUUCUUCCGUAAUAAUGUUUUGUGGAUCCCAUGACUUAAUGGAUACAAGCUUUAAACCAGAACAGAAUGACCUACUGGGUCUUUUAUGACAUGGACCCUGCUUAGUGCUCCAGCCAAAGUUUUCAAGGUUACCACUCUUCCAUGCUACAUUUCAGCUAGUUCAGUAUUGGUUUCUCAGAUCGAACUUUUGCUUUGAGAUGUCCUUCUUUCCUUGUCUACUCAGUUAAUGCUUCCUCCGACAAGGUGCUGAUAUCAACACCAUGUCCAGGGAUGAUUUCAAGGCCACCUGCCUUCACAACACAGGCUGUGUUUUAAGCGGUCUUCUCUGUGGUCUCUUAGCAUUCAGUACAUACAUCGUGUAGUAUUUGCACUUUAUCCAAAUACACGCAGAUGUAUGUAUCCCUCACCAGACUUAAGAAUACGAAAGAGAAUUUUCAUGAUAUAAUGAGGUGAAAACUCUCCAAUUUUGUUUGGUCUUUUGGUACAUAAAUGUUAGUAAAGACUGUUUGAUUUUAUUUUUGAUGUCACUAUUACCAUUUUCAUAAUAUUGGAACUUUUCAUAACAUGACAUUUACAACAUUUUGCCAAUAGAUAAUAAAAUUUAUAAUAGCUUUACCUACCCUACUAUCUGGAAAAUAAUUCAACCGUAAUCAAACUUUCAGAUGUACUUACCUGAGUGAGGUCCAGAUAGAGCUUCCUUUUAUGCAAUUCUUGUAGUGAUGCAUCAAGUUAUGCAAAUAUAAAAUAAAAGAUUUUAAUGAAGGAAUGUUUAUAUUUUAUAAUUUUGUCUAUAAGUGAGGUUAUAUCUAAACAGGUGGAUCAUUCUCCUAAAAUGCAAAAAUUGACAAAUAACAGCAUGCUACUUUGAAGGGUAAAAAAAGUUGAGUUAAAACUAUUGGCUAACAAUUAAUCUCGUAUGGUCAAUCUCAUGAUUACCAACUAUCACACUAACCAGUUUUUUAAAAAAAUAACUGCUACACAUAUGUUAUAGAGUUUAAUUCCUUUAUAUUAAUUUGAUUCAGACAUUGUUUGCUCUUGUUGGCAGCAGUCUGCCAUGGUCCCUGAGUGUCCUUGUACAUCCUUGCUGAAUAUAUCAAAUAUAUCAACUAUCUCCUAAUGAUGAGCAGUUUCAGUAGCUAGUCACAUAAACACUUAAGUAGGUCAAGGAAACUAUAUGUGACUAUUAGGCAACUCUUUACUCCCUAGGGGAGAGAACUGGCUAUUUGCUGCUUCCUACAAAAAGCGCUGAGCCCUUGAACCUAGGCUCUUCCAAUGUGGCACAACCCACCUUGUGUAGAGUCUGCAUUUGGGACCAUCUUGUCUCCCCUUGGGACUCUGGGAUUCAAGCUGCAUUACCAUCUUGAUGCUCCUGCUGUUUGUUGUGUUGUGAGUAAUAAACUUUUGUGCUGGAUCCUUUGAGUUAUAGCACUAUCAAAUUGUGGUAACCCUACCUGCUUGCUUUUUGUUAGUCAUCUUACUACUCUUUGCUAUCUUCUCAGGUUGGAGUUCUUCCCUACCAGAUUUCCUCUCUAUCCAAUUAAUUGCUUCUCAUGUUCAAAGAUCUGUAAGGCAGCAUCUCUAUAGGUGCACCACUCAAUUGUGUUUUACAAUCAAAUAAAUAUUUUACUGCAGGACUUCUUCAAGCCUUUUUAUUGGUAAAUUCAUGGUAAAAUUUUAAGUGAAUUUUGAAAUUCAUGGGAAGCACAGUGUAUUCUUGGUUUACCAUGAAACCCAUCCUCCCUACCUCCAGCAGAAAGAAGCAAUGAAUUACCAAGCAUCUACUAUUUCUGCUCUCCUAUGUUCAAGGCAUUUGGUAUACGAAAGGCAAUAAAACACAGCCCAUUCUGUCAAGUAUUUCAAACAGAACCUCAUGAGCAACUUCAGGUGAUUUGGGGAAAAGUUUGACAGCAUAUGCUACUUAAAAACAAUAGCACUUUGUGGAUGCCCUAACGGUAUGUUUCAUUUGCUCCAACUUGUCUGACAGCAGAUAUUUUUUCUCUCCUCUUCUCUACAAACAAUUUAAAGUUUAGCUUCUGACUGCAUUUUCCUGUGUGAGUCCGGCACACUAAUGUAUUGGAGUGUUCACCUGUGAUCCUCUUUAAGAUAUCUAAUCUUGAGCUGUUCUAUGAUUUCCACUUAUUGUGUGUCGAAGGGCAAAUGGGGUUAGGCAAAGGAAAAGAAAAGUUAGCAAAAUCUCUCAUUUCUUGAAAAGUUUCUUGAUGACACUACAGCACUAGAGGGUCAGUUCUAUUUAUAAGUGAGGAUUAGUGUUAGCUCACUGAACAUUUACAUUUCAGAUGACAAGAAGAUACUUUUAAGAGCUGAUUUACUAUUCUCAGGCCAGUGCUCAUGCCAAGUGAGCUAAAGUAACUUUACCAGCUGAGCUAGUAAAAGUACUUAAUAUACUCAUCUCAGAGCUCCACAAGAGUGGCUUUUUGGCUGCAGCCACAGGACCUGCAGCUGUCAGCUUUCUCCACUGUCACCAGUAGAUAUCACUGCAGUCAAUUAGAAUUACUACAGAGGGUUUCAGACAGAGACACAUGCAUCUUUUCGUUCUUGCAUAGGCAGCUGCCCAAAGGUCAGUAAUCCAUGACUGGAGGGAGGAAGACUUGGCAGUGACGCGACUCAUGCAUUGACUGAACGGCUAUAAUCGUCUGUCCAAAUGUCUUAGUGAGAACACCACGCUGAUCUCUCAACACAGUGAAAUGAGUUUCCUGUUAAAACCCAUGUGAUGUAUCUUGAUAUAUUUAAACGGAUUAACCCUCCUCACAAAGGCAGCUUUUCUAUAAUUUGGAAAUGGUCAAAGGAAAAAUGGGGAAAGGAAAGGAACGUGUGAAGUGUUUAUCCUGUAACUAUUUCCUAAAAUAAUAAUAACAAUAAGCUUGGUGGCAAGUUUCUUCUUCUCAAAGCGUUCUUCAAUAAUGAAGAACAUUUGGAAAUGUUUAAUAUAAAUAUUAAUAUUUGCAUAAGCACAUUAAUGUUAUAAUUUGGUUCAAACAAUUCUUUUACUUGAAUUUGUGGAAAUAAUUUACACAGAGUUCACAUAUAACUAAUUCUAGGGAAAAAAGUCAAAAUUAAGCAUUUGCCUUAAUUAUCUUCAUAUUUCAUUUGAAAACUCAUUAUGUUAUUAGCCUGCCUUAGAUUGUUUUUUGUAUAUGCUUUAUAUGUAUUCUUCAGAUUUUAGAUGACUUCCUGUCCCAGGUGGUCACAGGAUGGUACAGCAACUCCAACCAUUGUGUUUCUCUUCAGUGAAUGAACACUCAAGGCAAACAGUGAGAAAGAUCUUCCUCUCACACCUUUUUCUUUGUGGUGAGGAAAAUUGGCUCUUAGCUAACAUCUGUUGCCAAUCUUCCUCUUUUUGCUUGACGAAGAUU